AGUUUUGGUAGAGAAGACCGUGUGAGAACAAAGACAGGAGCUCAGGAAGUUGAGCAUUUAGUCACCAGAGCGAUGGCUGGAGGGUGGAGGCUGAGCGCUGCGCUGCUGCUGAGUGUGUUCGUGCAGGCUUUGAGCGGGCAGCCAGUGAAGUGCACCGUCUCCCAUGAUGGUGGCACGACCACGUACGCCCUCCAGACCGAGUUUUCUGACAAGGAUGUGCAGAAGCCCGAGUUCUCGUGGUUUAACAUCUCCAAAUACGUCCUCGCCAACCACCUCGAUCAAAUUGCUGUGGUGAUAAGUCGCAGCUUCAACGCUCUCACUAUCAGAGCUUGCAUCGAAAACCUUUUCUGUGAAGGACACGUCAACUCCAAGGGGAAACCUCUCGACUACACGGCCAACUGCACCACCGUCUGCCCUCCCGUAGCUUUGCCCGGAGACCAAGGUGAAAAAAACAGGAACUCUCAUCACUGGAUCAUCCCUGUCAUUGUCAUUGUCAUAGUGAUAGUGAUAGCGCUUGCAUGCAUCAUCCUGUGCUGCAGAAAUGAAAAUCUCAGGAGAUGCCGCUGUGGGCAAACCAGAGGACUUUACAUCGUCGGGAAGAAAGAAGCAGCAAAGCCAGAAAUUGUGUAGAAAGAACAGAUCUGAAACGAUGAUCUUUCCCCUUUUUUCACUUUGAAGUAGAGUGUGCAUGAAAAGGUUAAUCUCCACCUGUGAGUGGAUGCUUUCUGUAGUUUCCCACUGCAUCUACACAGUAAGUGUAGAUGCAGUGGGAGUGUGGACACUUCCUCUGGACUCAUCUUCAGUUUCUCUUUGUUCGUACUUUGGCACAGUUAAUGACAGCACAGUGGUGGUAAUGAGUGACAGAAUGACACUUAUGUGACUGGAUGCUGGAGACUUGAGGUGCUAAACUCUAAGUCAUGUGUGACCUUUUAUUUUAAGCAUUACUUAAUGAUGAUAAUAAUAAUAAUAAUAAUAAUAAUAAUAAUAAUAAUAAUUCGUCUCUGAAGCAGUGGGCAGCCACUGGGCGCCCGGGGAGCAGCGUGUAGGGACGGUACCUUGCUCAGGGGUACCUCAGGGUAGCUGUUUAGUGGAUUCGAACCCUCCUGUUUUGCAUUAUACUUGCCAAAGCUGAACCCCAGCUCACUGAUUAGUGUCACUGUAACUGUAUCUGGCUACGGCCUCGAUCCCGUUGUUGAUUUUAUUCCACUUGCCGGUUAGCUGUGAGGGAUUGGUGCACAGGUGAAAAGUUCUCUGGGCUGUGGAAGCUCUCAGACUCUUUGCUGCACCAGCGAGUGCACUUUGAGGAGCCAAAAAGCAUUAAUACAUUAAUACAACCCCCCCCGUGUAAACCAGCUGUGGAAGCUCAGAGACUCAUAAUGCAGCACCAGGGCGUGCACUUUCAGUGUCCUAUAGCAUUACAGCACAUAGUAUAUAUAACAUAUAGUAAUAUAAAGAUGAAUAUAGAUGACUUACUAUCUAUAGCUACUGAUAUUUUAUAAUAUGAAACUAUAUUAUUUAUAUAUAAAUAUAUUAUUUUUAUUAUUAUAUAACUUAUAAAGAUGAACAUUGCGAUCUUAAACUACUCGUCAUGUGUCCUCUUUACGCUGUCCUUAUGAAGUGUAUAUUUUAAGCUGUCAAUCAAACAUUUGUUUCUCUAUCUGCUGUAUUACUGUUUCUUUUUCACUCAUUAAAAGCUUCUGCUCAGACUCAUGAGCUCAUUGUGUUUUUUGCAGCUCAUGCUUGGUUUUAGUUUGUUUUUUCUUUCUUCCUGUUUUUCCUACAGGGGCUUUUUUUGGGUCUUCUAUCUGGUGAUAUGUUCUGAGCCAAUUGAAGCUGAGCAGGUGGGUUGACACAUGCACAAGGAAAUGAUUGGUCAUGUUUGUGCUGCUGCCACUUCAGAACACGAUGCCUCUGCACAUUUAAGCAAUGACAGUCACGAGUCUUGUUCUGGGGUGGGGGCUUUUUGAUGAAGCUACAGAGGAGUCCUUAAACGUUCUUAAUUUUUUUUGCUGAUGUAAAAUUUAAAAAUGUAGUUAUAAAAUCCAGAAUGCAUGCUGGUGCUGCGGGUGGCCGUGUAACUCCAACAGCAUUUACUGUGUGUGUACAUAACAGGAAGGAAGAGGGCAGAGGGGCUUUUCUAAU
ensembl:lncRNA